GGAUCAGUAACUCAGUGGCAGAGUAGCUGUAAAUAUCAUGCAGGUACGCAUCAGCUGAAGCGUGCAUGAUGUCUAGGUAGGUCGCAAGUUCAACCCUUGCCUGAUCCG
rnacentral:tRNA from 1 species